UUGUGUUUUUGAUGUUCUCCGCUACAAAGGAUCAAUCGGCUUCAAGCCGAGGUGCUGCCCAGGUUUCUACCAGCAGUAAUGACUACCGUAUCGUCUUGCCCCGUCUUCCUACUGGCAAUUUGCGGGAACAUUUACUUGGCAAAUAAGCUCACACGAAAAGGCUGUCAAUAUGAGCAACUGGACAGCGUGCAUGAUCGUUUUCGCCCUCUUCACUAUGAGCUCUGAUUGGCAACCUUCCAACAAUGCAAUUGUAGAAGCGGGAAGAGUCUUAUAUUCCACUCGCAAUUGCUGGAGACAUGAUUGUCUUCGCGGCGGCUGCCCUGGUGGUUGCAGAUGUCCGGGGCCGGUUUCCUUGUUCCUUGGAAGAACAAGUUGCUACUGAAGUGGUCGUUGACUUUUCUCCAAAAUCCAGUAUAAGUUCUCUGCAAUAAACCUUGUCAGCAUUUUCCGUGCUUAUAAA